CUACGGGACGCUGCAGUAGGGAAUAUUGCACAAUGGGGGGAACCCUGAUGCAGCAACGCCGCGUGGAGGAUGACGCAUUUCGGUGUGUAAACUCCUUUUAUAUGUCAAGAAAAUGACGGUAGCAUAUGAAUAAGCACCGGCUAACUCCGUGCCAGCAGCCGCGGUAAUACGGAGGGUGCAAGCGUUACUCGGAAUCACUGGGCGUAAAGGACGCGUAGGCGGGUUGGAAAGUCAGGUGUGAAAUCCUACAGCUUAACUGUAGAACUGCACUUGAAACUUCUAAUCUAGAGUAUGGGAGGGGGAGAUGGAAUUAGUGGUGUAGGGGUAAAAUCCGUAGAUAUCACUAGGAAUACCUAAAGCGAAGGCGAUCUCCUGGAACAUUACUGACGCUAAGGCGUGAAAGCGUGGGGAGCAAACAGGAUUAGAUACCCCGGUAGUC
rnacentral:rRNA from 1 species